rnacentral:rRNA from 1 species
CAGCGCCACGAGUGGGGACCACAUUUAUUUGGCCUAAAGCGUCCGUAGCUGGAUUAGUAAAUCUUUUGUGAAAUCGAGGAGCUCAACUUCUCGGCGUGCAGGAGACACUGCUUAUCUAGAGACCGGGAGGGGUAUGGAGUAUUCUGAGGGGACCGGUAAAAUGGGAUAAUCCUUGGAAGACUACCUGUGGCGAAGGCGCCAUACCAGAACGGAUCUGACGGUGAGGGACGAAAGCUAGGGGAGCGAACCGGAUUAGAUACCCGAGUAGUCC